GGAGAGGUGACCGAGCGGCCUAAGGUGCACGCCUGGAAAGCGUGUAGGGGGAUAACACUCCCUCGUGGGUUCGAAUCCCACCCUCUCCG
rnacentral:tRNA from 1 species